rnacentral:rRNA from 1 species
UACGAGGGGGGCAAAUGUUGUUCGGAUUUACUGGGCGUAAAGGGCGCGUAGGCGGUCGUGACAAGUCACUUGUGAAAUCUCCGGGCUUAACUCGGAACGGUCAAGUGAUACUGUCGGACUAGAGUACAGAAGGGGCAACUGGAAUUCUCGGUGUAGCGGUGAAAUGCGUAGAUAUCAAGAGGAACACCUGCGGCGAAGGCGGGUUGCUGGGCCGACACUGACGCUGAGGCGCGAAAGCCAGGGGAGCGAACGGG